rnacentral:pre_miRNA from 1 species
CUGAUCUCGAGUGGUGAGUAGAUUAUUUCUUUAAACUUCAUCUAGCACCAUUUGAAAUCAGUAC